GGGCACAGAAAAUGUAAAUGUACCUUUAGAGGGCAGUCUAUGCAAACCAACUUCUCCUAGUUCCCUUUAAAAGAAAAGCCCCAGUCUGUUUAUCUCCAUACAUCCAUUUUGACUGUUGCAGCAGGUUCCUCCUUUCAUAACAUGAACAUGAAUAUUUGGCAUUUCAUCUGUAUGGUGAUUGUAUUUUUCUGUAUCAGUGGUGAUGAAAUCCGAUUAGAUCAGUCUCCUGCUGUGAUAAAGAGACCUGGAGAAACAGUGAAGACCUCCUGUAAAAUAUCUGGUUUUACGAUGACAGACUACUACAUGCACUGGAUCAGACAGAGGCCAGGGAAAGCUCUGGAGUGGAUUGGGGAAGUUAACUCUGGCUCUGGUAGUGUUACUUAUGCAGAUACAAUGGAAAAUCACUUCACACUGAGUGAGGAUGUGUCUCAAAGUACACAGUAUCUUGAAGCCAAGAGUCUGAGAGAAGAGGACACUGCUGUUUAUUACUGUGCUCGACAGACACAGUGACUCCAUCUGUUGAAGCAGCUUUACAAUAACUGAGAACUAAUGAGAAAAAACCAUCCAUUGGACUAUGAAUCAUAUGCUUGCUCUCGUUAUCAUGAUUAUGAAGUAAUAUAUACACACACUGAUCAGGCAUAACAUUAUAAACCACCUUUCUAAAAUUGUGUUGGUCCCCCUUUUG